ACGAACGCUGGCGGCGUGCUUAACACAUGCCAGUCGCACGGAAAGGCCCUGCUUUUGUGGGGUGCUCGAGUGGCGAACGGGUGAGUAACACGUGAGUCACCUGCCCUUGACUUUGGGAUAACUUCAGGAAACUGGGGCUAAUACCGGAUAGGAGCUCCUGCUGCAUGGUGGGGGUUGGAAAGUUUCGGCGGUUGGGGAUGGACUCGCGGCUUAUCAGCUUGUUGGUGGGGUAGUGGCUUACCAAGGCUUUGACGGGUAGCCGGCCUGAGGGGGUGACCGGCCACAUUGGGACUGAGAUACGGCCCAGACUCCUACGGGAGGCAGCAGUGGGGAAUAUUGCACAAUGGGCGGAAGCCUGAUGCAGCAACGCCGCGUGCGGGAUGACGGCCUUCGGGUUGUAAACCGCUUUCGCCUGUGACGAAGCGUGAGUGACGGUAAUGGGUAAAGAAGCACCGGCUAACUACGUG
rnacentral:rRNA from 1 species